UACGGGGGGAGCAAGCGUUGUUCGGAUUUACUGGGCGUAAAGGGCGCGUAGGCGGCCACCGCAAGUCGACUGUGAAAUCCCUCGGCUUAACCGGGGAACUGCGUCUGAUACUGGAUGGCUUGAGUUUGGGAGAGGGACGCGGAAUUCCAGGUGUAGCGGUGAAAUGCGUAGAUAUCUGGAGGAACACCGGUGGCGAAGGCGGCGUCCUGGACCAACACUGACACUGAUGAGCGAAAGCCAGGGGAGCAAACGGG
rnacentral:rRNA from 1 species